GGAGGGUUAUACGAGAGGGUACAGGUGUACUCAAGGUGCCUCACCAGCUUAAAUUCAAAUAAAAUGAUGAUACAUAAAUAAAAAACCUAUAGCAUUCUAUCACACACACCAGAAGAAAACAAAUCAUAACGAGACUGCUUUGCCUGGACAAUAUUGUCUUCAUGGUCCUUGUUUAAUAGACAACAUUUUUAUUCGUCUUGUCCUCCCAGGAGCUCAGGGGAACUACAUCGUUCUUCCUUCCACCAUUUUAUCCUCACAAUAGAAUACACCCAUUUUCUGCACAGUGCAUGGAAUCCACUUUCUCUUUUUCGAGGAGGAAGACUAAUUUGGAUUUCCCUCUUGUUUGCAAUAAUUUUUGGAUGGCAGCACCACCCACUCCUCUGACAUUUGGGGCAACAUAACCACCAUAAGCCUUCCUAGGACAGGAAGCGUGAAAGACCAUCCCCCCAGAUAUAGAGUCCAACACAUAACUUAAUCAUCAUUUGAGACACUAGUCCUUUGUCUGGCUGAAGCUCCCUUCCCAUGACAGGAACAGCUGUGACCUCAUCAACAUCCCACAGCAAAUUUGGCUUUUUAAAGAGAGUGCCUUAUGUUAACAUAUCUUGAGCUUGCAGAAGGAAUUUCUCUAGGUGGCUAAGAAAAAUGCAAAUUAUCAGGUGCAUGAAGUGUCCUCCUUAGAUGGCAUCCAUGCACACGUGUGCACAGAGAAACUGGGAACUGUGGCCGUGGACAUUAAAUGCAAGAUGUAUGGCCUGCAACAUUUCUGUGUACAGCAAAUGUAUACAAGAUCAGCAUAAUGAUCGUUCACAAUAGGCCAUCACUGGUGAUCAUAACCUCUUACCCUCACAUCCAGAAUGAAGAGACAAAACACCAAAUUACAGAUUGAAUAUAUUCUUAUUUUUCUGUCCUCCUUUAAAAAUUUUUUUAACAUGGUAUACAGCAUAAUUUGUUUUAUGUUGUUGUAAACUGCCCAGAGUUGGAAGUUUGGAGCGGUCUACAAAUUUGAGAAACAAAUAAUAAAAAUAAAUAAAAUAAUUUAAAACAAUACAGGACUAUGCCACUAAUACAACAAUGAAGGCCUUGGAAAGGAUAUUUAGAUGCCAUGACAUGUCUAUACCUACAAAGAUCAGAAGCAUUCGGACCAUGGUUUCCCCCAUGACGCUCUAUGGAGGCGAAAGCUGGACUUUAAA